UACGGAGGGGACUAGCGUUGUUCGGAAUUACUGGGCGUAAAGCGCACGUAGGCGGAUUUGUAAGUCAGGGGUGAAAUCCCGGGGCUCAACCUCGGAACUGCCUUUGAUACUGCAAAUCUCGAGUCCGGAAGAGGUGAGUGGAAUUCCUAGUGUAGAGGUGAAAUUCGUAGAUAUUAGGAAGAACACCAGUGGCGAAGGCGGCUCACUGGUCCGGUACUGACGCUGAGGUGCGAAAAGCGUGGGGGAGCAAACAGGG
rnacentral:rRNA from 1 species